rnacentral:rRNA from 1 species
UGGGGAAUCUUGGACAAUGGGGGCAACCCUGAUCCAGCCAUGCCGCGUGAGUGAUGAAGGCCUUAGGGUCGUAAAGCUCUUUCGCCUGUGAAGAUAAUGACGGUAGCAGGUAAAGAAACCCCGGCUAACUCCGUGCCAGCAGCCGCGGUAAUACGGAGGGGGUUAGCGUUGUUCGGAAUUACUGGGCGUAAAGCGCACGUAGGCGGACCAGAAAGUUGGGGGUGAAAUCCCGGGGGCUCAACCCCGGAACUGCCUCCAAAACUAUUGGUCUAGAGUUCGAGAGAGGUGAGUGGAAUUCCAAGUGUAGAGGUGAAAUUCGUAGAUAUUUGGGAGGAACACCAGUGGCGAAGGCGGCUCACUGGCUCGAUACUGACGCUGAGGUGCGAAAAGUGUGGGGAGCAAAACAGGAUUAGAUACCCUGGUAGUCCACGCCGUAAAACGAUGAGCACUCGGUGCCGCGGGGUAUCGACCCCUGCGGUG